rnacentral:rRNA from 1 species
AGUGAACGCUGGCGGUAGGCCUAACACAUGCAAGUCGAACGGCAGCACAGUAAGAGCUCGCUCUUACGGGUGGCGAGUGGCGGACGGGUGAGGUAUACAUCGGAAUCUACUUUUUCGUGGGGGAUAACGUAGGGAAACUUACGCUAAUACCGCAUACGACCUACGGGUGAAAGCAGGGGAUCUUCGGACCUUGCGCGAUUGAAUGAGCCGAUGUCGGAUUAGCUAGUUGGCGGGGUAAAGGCCCACCAAGGCGACGAUCCGUAGCUGGUCUGAGAGGAUGAUCAGCCACACUGGAACUGAGACACGGUCCAGACUCCUACGGGAGGCAGCAGUGGGGAAUAUUGGACAAUGGGCGCAAGCCUGAUCCAGCCAUACCGCGUGGGUGAAGAAGGCCUUCGGGUUGUAAAGCCCUUUUGUUGGGAAAGAAAAGCAGCAGGUUAAUACCCCGCUGUUCUGACGGUACCCAAAGAAUAAGCACCGGCUAACUUCGUG